AAUAUGACAGGAAUAUGCAGGAUGCUGGAAUCUUGUUUCCUAUCUUUUGGGGGUUAAAAUGAAGAUUGUGGUGACCAUUUUGGAGGAUGGAUGGGUACAACGGGAUAUUGGUGCGGUUCAAUAAGAAAACGGUGCUCAAUACUUUUUGAGCUCCGCUUUUUGAUUGAGCCGUGCCAAUAUCACGUGCCACUCGCUCUCUAA
rnacentral:pre_miRNA from 1 species